CUGAAGAUUCUGAACUGAACGGCUGAAGAAGUAAACCUCUCCUAUAUUUUGUGACUUCGUCUAUCGUCUCUUAAGGAAACAAAGAAACAGAGCCCUCCCUUUAAAACUCCGACGCCGUUCCUCACACGAAUUCCAUCCAGAGGCUUAUCACCAGUUCGUAGCUUCUCCCUCAACAAGCCACCCAUGGCAAACAGCCACAGCAACAGUGAUCAAGACCGUGUGAAAAGGUUAGAAAAAAAAAUUGAAGCACAAAUAACUUCUCUGGAGAAGAUGGAAGACCGUCUGAUUCAUCUUCAAUCGAGCGCAUUCCAACUGGCUAAUUAUUUCUUCGUUUUCCAAGGCGUUAUCCUUGGUGUUCUAUGCAAUCGCAGCACAGCUCUAAAAUGCUCAGACAGUUGGUUCCUUGUUACCCUCUCUGUCCUUGCAGCAUUUCUCAAUUUGGCUGCCUUGGUUUCUCUGGGUACCAAGUACAACCGAGUCAUUACCCAGAGAAGUAAAACCUGGUCCAACUUGCACGCUAACUUGGUCGACCUCGAACUACCAGAGAACAAACCAAGAACUUAUACGGACUACGAUGAUGAAUUUGAGAAAAAAACACGUAAAGUGGUGCUUUGUAUCUGCAUAUUUAUCUUCGUCGGUUUUGCCAUAGUUGUCCUUGUGGGUUGCUUCAAAUUUCUAUGCAGAGACAAAAAGUGAGUGAACUCAUCCAACAAUUUGAAAAUUAUGGUCUACGCUGUUAUUUGUGAAAAAGGAUUGGUGAAUUAGAUAGCUGGUUUUAAAACUUGAAGUGGAAUAAGAAUUAGAUGCAACGGAUGUUGAUGAAUCUAUAGGUUGCUGGAACAAAUCUUAAUAUUAGUUUUGAAGCUAAUAUUAGUUUAUUCACUUCAAAAGAAAUCUAUAGGUUGCUGGAACAAAUCUUAAUAUUGAUGUUGAUGAAGCUAGACUGAUGGGCAGAAGCAAAAGAAAUAAUAGUUAGUUUUGAUGAAACACAGUACAUGGAUUGUCCUUUAUACAAUGAAAUUGGGCAUCAUCUUGAAAUGAAACAAUUAAUGGCGUGCAUGUUGAAUUAACUUUCCAAUUGAUCAUAUGAUUUGGCAAGCCAAUAAGCAAUCCUUGAUGAACACUACUAUCAAUGGAAAAUGCUGAAAUCACAACUAAUAGUAGCUUGCCUUCCAUUUGUAUUUUAGUAAAUUCAUUUUGUUAUUUUAUACAUAGAAGUAAUAAUUAUGUCGGAGGUUAUGGGUUUUUAGGUGCUUGAAGUGUAUUAGACCAAGAGACAUCAGGUUUAAAAUGUUCAACAGUGUUAUCUCUAACAUAGAAAACCCUAAGGGGGCGUUUGGUUUAGGGAUUUGUAAGAGAUUGAUGGGUAAAUGAUAAAUGGGCAUAUCAGUUAACCAUGUUUGCUUCAAGGUUUUUUCACACUUACCCACCUAAGUGAGUUCCCUACAUAACCAAGAUAACCAUGUUUUCUCACCAUUUAGCCGGCAAAGUGUAUCCCAUGGGCAGUGUGGUUUUUAUGAAAAGCUGCCUCAUUGCUCAGACAAAAUUCUAAACAAAAGACGACGCUACCCUCUCUUUGCGCGCGAAAGGAAAAUGGCAAUCAUGUCGACUUUGCAGAGUUGUUAGAGUGGCUUUUUUUAAAGAGCAACACUUGCACAAAAACAUCAAAAGGUUAACAUUUGUGCGACUGGAUGAGCGAAAUAUCAAAAGGUUAACACUUCACCUUCGCUCAUCUUUUUGGUCUGAUACCGAAACAUCAACAAUCAUCAGUGAGCACGAAGGUGAAAAAUUUAUGGGAGGUACAGCGCGUACGUGUCAAGAGAAGAGGGUGGUGUCGAGAAGCAUUGGUGUCCGACAGUAGCAUUUACUUUGCGUUUGUUGUUUGUCGUCGACUACAUCAUCCACAGCCUCUCCGGUAAGUCUCUGUUUCUUAAGCAUCUUGAUUGAGUAAUUUAUCAUGUGCCCUUGCCUAGAGUUCAAUGUCAUCAGUGGGUAAAAUGGUUCAUUUCUUUUCUGCCCUCGUUUUGAUUUUUUUAUUUAGUUUCUUAAAGUGGUCCAAAAACUACAGGAAAAGUUGGAUGAGUCUUGAUGUGUGUCCUUGUUUUAAAAAUUGAAUGAGUUGGGUAAAGAGCUGGUUGAUUAUUCUCCUUCCCCUCAUGAUGCUAAACCAUAAUGUCUUUGGCUUUUUUAUGAAUUUAGAUAAGCAAAGCAUUUACUUAGUGGAGAAUAUAGCUGAUUCAUCAUAUAUCGAUUUUUGUAAGAUCUCAUCAUAUAUGCUUGCUGUUUUGACAUGAAUUCAGCCUCUGACCGUAUGAAUUUUGACAUGAUUCAUCAUAUAUUUGAGAUCGAGUUUUGAAAUGGAGAAAAUAAUUUCACGAAAAUAUUUCUUACAACAAGUUAAUUUUUUUUGGGUUUACUAUUUCUUACAAGUUUAUUUGUACUUGAAUCAGAUCAUCAAUGAAUCUGGAAUAUAUUAAAAAAAUUUAAUUGGCAUAAGAAGUUAGUUCAAUGUCGUUGUAUCAUUUCCUCGGGUGAGUAAAAAAAAAAUUAAUGUGGUUUGAUCCACCAUUAAAUCAUAUUUCUCCUCCUGUAAUUAUUUACAUGUUUUAGGCAAAUAAAAAAAAAAGUUAAAAAAAUAUCGAUGGUUCCCCUUGCAUUUAUAAGGUGAGACGUUGGUAGUUGUUGGGAAUGUCUUUUCUUCUAUAAUGCUUCAUUAUUGUGCAUGUGUGUUUUAGGCGAUAGUUAUAAGAAGGUUUUCCUUUUUUCUGAAUUGGACGCACACAAAUCACAUUUUCUGUAUAUCUUUCUCUGCAUCCAUGCACAUUCAUAGGGAGAGAUGUUUAAUAAUCAGAAACCUGUAUUGAAGAGUUAACUCCAGCUCAAAAAUAAUGAUCAUCUUAUAUAAUUUGUUCAAAGCUAUAGUAUUUACAUACACUAGCUAGCUGAAAAAAAACGUGUUAUUGAAAGGAAAGCAAUGAUUGUGUACAUAACUCACGAGCCUACUGUAAUUGGUCAAAUCGGGUUUGAUAUAUAUUAGCUUCAGGAUGAAAUAUGUUGUGAAAAUUUGUUUUUAGAGAGCAAGACAAAACCAUGACUAUCUUAUCUGAUAUAUGUAGCUGCCAGCUAAAAAUGGACAUGUCAAAAGCAACUUGAUAUGGAAAAAUGGACAUGUUGUAAGUGUGCCAAAUGGCUGUGGUUUGUUUAAGUGUUAACUUUUGCUGUGGUUUGUUUUCCUAUAACAUGUUGUAUAUACCAUGCUAGGUAAUCAUUGUACACACAUGGCUGCAGUAGAGUCCUCAUACAAAUACUGACUCUUUCUUGUGUUUUGGGAUUUUUUGUACGGUCCAUAUCUAAUGCCAAGUGAUCUCUGUUUUUGGUGAGGGAUACUGAGUUCCAACACAUAUUGGCACACUUAUGACACCUUUGAAUCCAUUGCUGGGACUGAUAAGUUGCAUCUGCCAAUCCAUGUAAGUUUUUUUGGUGCUGAUACAAAGGCUACAAAGUGGUUGAAUGUGGAUGGAAUUGGAGUGAUUGAUAGCAGCAUUGGUUUAUUUGGAUCUGCAACAGGUUGUCAUCAUUGACACCUUUGCCAAAAAGGAUGCUGAUAUUAAGGUGUACAGCAUUUACAGAAGAGGACAUUAGUUACAUGCAUAGAAGAGCAGCUGUGUUUGGUUGAAUUUGUAUAAGUUCAAUAGUUUGUGUUGAUUAUUUAUGUAACCUUGUAUAAGUAUGUCCGACUAUUGACCUUGCUUGAUCAAGGAAGUGUGUAAUGUAUGACAUUUGAAACGAUUCAAUAUCUUAUUGGAUUUUCCAGUACCAGGUUG